rnacentral:rRNA from 1 species
UAGGGAAUCUUCCACAAUGGACGCAAGUCUGAUGGAGCAACGCCGCGUGAGUGAAGAAGGCUUUCGGGUCGUAAAACUCUGUUAUUGAAGAAGAACGUGCGUGACAGUAACUGGUCAUGCAGUGACGGUAUUCAAUCAGAAAGUCACGGCUAACUACGUGCCAGCAGCCGCGGUAAUACGUAGGUGGCAAGCGUUGUCCGGAUUUAUUGGGCGUAAAGCGAGUGCAGGCGGUCUUUUAAGUCUGAUGUGAAAGCCUUCGGCUUAACCGAAGAAGGGCAUCGGAAACUGGGAGACUUGAGUGCAGAAGAGGAGAGUGGAACUCCAUGUGUAGCGGUGAAAUGCGUAGAUAUAUGGAAGAACACCAGUGGCGAAGGCGGCUCUCUGGUCUGUAACCGACGCUGAGGCUCGAAAGCGUGGGUAGCAAACAGGA